CGACGGUAGAGGGGGCAACCCCUCGAGAGUGGCGAACGGGUGAGUAAUAUAUCGGAACGUGCCCAGUCGUGGGGGAUAACGUAGCGAAAGUUACGCUAAUACCGCAUACGAUCUAAGGAUGAAAGCGGGGGAUCGCAAGACCUCGCGCGAUUGGAGCGGCCGAUAUCAGAUUAGGUAGUUGGUGGGGUAAUGGCUCACCAAGCCAACGAUCUGUAGCUGGUCUGAGAGGACGACCAGCCACACUGGAACUGAGACACGGUCCAGACUCCUACGGGAGGCAGCAGUGGGGAAUUUUGGACAAUGGACGCAAGUCUGAUCCAGCCAUUCCGCGUGCAGGAUGAAGGCCCUCGGGUUGUAAACUGCUUUUGUACGGAACGAAAAGGUCUCUAUUAAUACUAGGGGCUCAUGACGGUACCGUAAGAAUAAGCACCGGCUAACUACGUGCCAGCAGCCGCGGUAAUACGUAGGGUGCAAGCGUUAAUCGGAAUUACUGGGCGUAAAGCGUGCGCAGGCGGUUAUAUAAGACAGAUGUGAAAUCCCUGGGCUCAACCUGGGAACUGCAUUUGUGACUGUAUAGCUAGAGUACGGUAGAGGGGGAUGGAAUUCCGCGUGUAGC
rnacentral:rRNA from 1 species